GCAAAUCACUAACAUCAGGAAACUAAUGUUCCCAUAAUGUAUUGCGGCAUGUGUGUCUAAACACUAAAACCUUCAAAAUUAAUGCAUACUUUAAAAAUAAAACAUAUAGCUUAUAUUUUCACUUUGUAAAACGACAGACGGAAAUUUC